rnacentral:rRNA from 1 species
CCUACGGGUGGCUGCAGUGAGGAAUAUUGGUCAAUGGGCGCGAGCCUGAACCAGCCAAGUAGCGUGAAGGAUGACUGCCCUACGGGUUGUAAACUUCUUUUAUAAAGGAAUAAAGUGAGGCACGUGUGCCUUUUUGUAUGUACUUUAUGAAUAAGGAUCGGCUAACUCCGUGCCAGCAGCCGCGGUAAUACGGAGGAUCCGAGCGUUAUCCGGAUUUAUUGGGUUUAAAGGGAGCGUAGAUGGGUUGUUAAGUCAGUUGUGAAAGUUUGCGGCUCAACCGUAAAAUUGCAAUUGAUACUGGUAGGCUAGAGUACAGGUGAGGUAGGCGGAAUUCGUGGUGUAGCGGUGAAAUGCUUAGAUAUCACGAAGAACUCCGAUUGCGAAGGCAGCUUACUAAACUGCCACUGACAUUGAUGCUCGAAAGUGUGGGUAGCAAACAGGAUUAGAUACCCCUGUAGUC